GUUUAUUUCUUUUGGUGGCCGCAAUACCCGCUUUUGACCACAGGAGGGCAGAGUUUUCCGUCCCGUAGCAUUAACGUCGAGGCCUUUUGCCCAGCAUCGGGACACCGAGAAGCUAAGCCGCGAAGCGCAGAGCGUCGCCGCUCUAUGCUCCUCCGAAAGGGACGGGCCGCUUCCCUCGGCCUUCGGCGCAUGUCCGCCGGCUGGUUCUUCGCCAGCAAUCUCUCAGAGGCCUUCUCGGCGAUGGCGGACUUCCUGUCCCUCGCUAUCGGCCGCCGCCCGGGUCCUGUGAGAAAAGGACCUUUCCAAGAUGGCCGACUUCCGGCCCUUCGUUCUGAAUCGUUCCCCCGAUUUCCUUUCCCAGAAGACCUUCUCUGUAUGGCGGACUUUCCGUCCGAUCCAAUCUGCCGUCCACCGGGGCCUUUGCAAAACGCCCUUUCCCGUCGUGGUGGUGGUGGAAGGAGGGAAGGAGGGAAGGAGAUGGGCGAGCGGGCCGGGUUGUAUCACACUCUGCCUUUGUCCCAAAGCACAGGAGAAAUUUAAGCGGCUCGCGUUAACACCGAAUAAAAUGGGAUGAGCAGAAAGGAGACGGUAAGAAAGUUUUAAAGUAAUCAAAUGACCUAAAAAGGGGCCAGCCCUCUUUUACAUCGAAAUUGAAAGACUGAAAGGAAGUUGGGGGCAACUGAAGGGAACGUGGAUGGCUUCGUGAACUGGUCCUUUACUAUCGCCAAAGGCUCGCUUCUUUUCGUGAGCUACUGAGCUUGCAGAGGUCUAUAUCCUGCCUUUUCUAAAGGAAGGGCAGAAUUCUCACCUUCCGUAUGAAUAAAGGAUGUUUCCGAUCUGA